CGAGGUAUAGCUCAGCUUGGUAGAGCGCUACGUUCGGGACGUAGAGGCCACAGGUUCGAAUCCUGCUACCUCGACCA
rnacentral:tRNA from 1 species